CAAUCAUUCUGACCCACCAGGUACACUCCCUGACUGCUGAAGGCUGAAGUGUGGUACCGGCCUCCUCGACCAAAAGCCCUGAAGACAGGUGUGGAAAUCACUCCUCUAGGACGACUACAGCAGACAGAGAUCCAAAUAGAGACCACCUGGACAGGGAAGCCUCCUCUUCCUCGGCUGCGUCGAGUUCCAGCCCACUGACCCACCACAGUGCCAGCAAUCUCCAGCUUCCCACCCUGUGAUGGGAUGCCCUGAACUCCUUACAGGAAGAAAAAGAUUUGUGUCAACAUCAAAGACCCCCUCCUGGACGCCCUGCAGUUCGCCCAGAGCCAACAGAUCAGUAAACGAUGUUGUAAACAUGGCACUCAACUUCAUCCUCCAGCAUCUGGACUUUCCAGGAUCCUACACCAGGAUCCUGUUUGUAGACUUCAGCUCUGCCUUCAACACAAUGGUUCCAUCCCUGCUCCAUGACAAACUCUCCCAGCUGAAUGUGCCUGACUCCAUCUGCAGGUGGAUCACCGACUUCCUCACUCACAGACAGCAGUAUGUGAGGCUGGGGAAGCUUGUCUCUGAUUCCCAGACCUUCACCCCCCUAUCCCCUAAGGCUGUGUCCUUUCUUCCCCAUCCUCAGUGACACCCCAGUGACCUCUGUUGAGUCCUUCCACUUCCUGGGCACCAUCAUCUCCCGUCUCUCCAGGAGCUGCACAUCUCCAGGACCCGGAGACGGGCUGCCAGGAUUGUAGCCGACCCCUCUCAUUCAGGACAUUAACACUUUCAGUUCCUCCCCCGGUCCAUCAGGACUGGGACCUCACGUCACUUUACAAGUCACACCAUCCUACACCACCUGCACACCCACUUCACUCCACUGUAUAUAGUCUGUUCAUAACGUAAUUUGAAUUCAUCCCUCACUGCACUAUUCAAUUAUUCAUACUAUGUAAUGUUGUACUGUUCUGCAAAAAAAAAAAAAAGUUAGCGCCGGGCAACCUGGCUGCUGAUGGGAAUUUCCCCGCUGUGGGACUAAUAAAGGCAUUCUUAACUUCUUUAUGCAGAGAGGAACGACCCACCAACACCAAGUCAAAUUCCUAGUUCUGUAAAGUGUUCUCUACAGGACCCAGCUUAAAGUAAAUAAAGCUUUUCUGAUUCUGAAAUGAACUGCUUAGACAUAUUUUAGACACACAAGAUAAUACAAAUCAGUUUAAAGUGAAUACUCACGGUGAAUAUUCACUACUCACAGUGUGUAAAUGUCACAGUGUACAGAGACAACAGGAGGAGGCUCUGAUGAAGGGCUUAGCAAACUCUUGUUCGACUACUUUUGCACUGAAGCCUCUAUUUACGGUGUAGGUGUGUGGGUCUUGUGGAUGAAGCUACCUG